GACGAACGCUGGCGGCGUGCUUAACACAUGCAAGUCGAACGAUGAACUACCAGCUUGCUGGUGGGGAUUAGUGGCGAACGGGUGAGUAACACGUGAGUAACCUGCCCUGGACUCUGGGAUAACCCCGAGAAAUCGGAGCUAAUACCGGAUAGGACCUUUCCCUGCAUGGGGUUUGGUGGAAAGUUUUUCGGUCUGGGAUGGACUCGCGGCCUAUCAGCUUGUUGGUGAGGUAAUGGCUCACCAAGGCGUCGUCGGGUAGCCGGCCUGAGGGGGUGACCGGCCACACUGGGACUGAGACACGGCCCAGACUCCUACGGGAGGCAGCAGUGGGGAAUAUUGCACAAUGGGCGCAAGCCUGAUGCAGCAACGCCGCGUGCGGGAUGACGGCCUUCGGGUUGUAAACCGCUUUUAGUAGGGAAGAAGGGCUUCGGCUUGACGGUACCUGCAGAGAAAGGACCGGCUAACUACGUGCCAGCCGCCGCGGUAACAC
rnacentral:rRNA from 1 species